rnacentral:rRNA from 1 species
GGGUUGUGAGGUUAAGCGACUAAGCGUACACGGUGGAUGCCCUGGCAGUCAGAGGCGAUGAAGGACGUGCUAAUCUGCGAUAAGCGUCGGUAAGGUGAUAUGAACCGUUAUAACCGGCGAUUUCCGAAUGGGGAAACCCAGUGUGUUUCGACACACUAUCAUUAACUGAAUCCAUAGGUUAAUGAGGCGAACCGGGGGAACUGAAACAUCUAAGUACCCCGAGGAAAAGAAAUCAACCGAGAUUCCCCCAGUAGCGGCGAGCGAACGGGGAGGAGCCCAGAGCCUGAAUCAGUGUGUGUGUUAGUGGAAGCGUCUGGAAAGGCGCGCGAUACAGGGUGACAGCCCCGUACACAAAAAUGCACAUGCUGUGAGCUCGAUGAGUAGGGCGGGACACGUGGUAUCCUGUCUGAAUAUGGGGGGACCAUCCUCCAAGGCUAAAUACUCCUGACUGACCGAUAGUGAACCAGUACCGUGAGGGAAAGGCGAAAAGAACCCCGGCGAGGGGAGUGAAAAAGAACCUGAAACCGUGUACGUACAAGCAGUGGGAGCACGCUUAGGCGUGUGACUGCGUACCUUUUGUAUAAUGGGUCAGCGACUUAUAUUCUGUAGCAAGGUUAACCGAAUAGGGGAGCCGAAGGGAAACCGAGUCUUAACUGGGCGUUAAGUUGCAGGGUAUAGACCCGAAACCCGGUGAUCUAGCCAUGGGCAGGUUGAAGGUUGGGUAACACUAACUGGAGGACCGAACCGACUAAUGUUGAAAAAUUAGCGGAUGACUUGUGGCUGGGGGUGAAAGGCCAAUCAAACCGGGAGAUAGCUGGUUCUCCCCGAAAGCUAUUUAGGUAGCGCCUCGUGAAUUCAUCUCCGGGGGUAGAGCACUGUUUCGGCAAGGGGGUCAUCCCGACUUACCAACCCGAUGCAAACUGCGAAUACCGGAGAAUGUUAUCACGGGAGACACACGGCGGGUGCUAACGUCCGUCGUGAAGAGGGAAACAACCCAGACCGCCAGCUAAGGUCCCAAAGUCAUGGUUAAGUGGGAAACGAUGUGGGAAGGCCCAGACAGCCAGGAUGUUGGCUUAGAAGCAGCCAUCAUUUAAAGAAAGCGUAAUAGCUCACUGGUCGAGUCGGCCUGCGCGGAAGAUGUAACGGGGCUAAACCAUGCACCGAAGCUGCGGCAGCGACGCUUAUGCGUUGUUGGGUAGGGGAGCGUUCUGUAAGCCUGCGAAGGUGUGCUGUGAGGCGUGCUGGAGGUAUCAGAAGUGCGAAUGCUGACAUAAGUAACGAUAAAGCGGGUGAAAAGCCCGCUCGCCGGAAGACCAAGGGUUCCUGUCCAACGUUAAUCGGGGCAGGGUGAGUCGACCCCUAAGGCGAGGCCGAAAGGCGUAGUCGAUGGGAAACAGGUUAAUAUUCCUGUACUUGGUGUUACUGCGAAGGGGGGACGGAGAAGGCUAUGUUGGCCGGGCGACGGUUGUCCCGGUUUAAGCGUGUAGGCUGGUUUUCCAGGCAAAUCCGGAAAAUCAAGGCUGAGGCGUGAUGACGAGGCACUACGGUGCUGAAGCAACAAAUGCCCUGCUUCCAGGAAAAGCCUCUAAGCAUCAGGUAACAUCAAAUCGUACCCCAAACCGACACAGGUGGUCAGGUAGAGAAUACCAAGGCGCUUGAGAGAACUCGGGUGAAGGAACUAGGCAAAAUGGUGCCGUAACUUCGGGAGAAGGCACGCUGAUAUGUAGGUGAGGUCCCUCGCGGAUGGAGCUGAAAUCAGUCGAAGAUACCAGCUGGCUGCAACUGUUUAUUAAAAACACAGCACUGUGCAAACACGAAAGUGGACGUAUACGGUGUGACGCCUGCCCGGUGCCGGAAGGUUAAUUGAUGGGGUUAGCGCAAGCGAAGCUCUUGAUCGAAGCCCCGGUAAACGGCGGCCGUAACUAUAACGGUCCUAAGGUAGCGAAAUUCCUUGUCGGGUAAGUUCCGACCUGCACGAAUGGCGUAAUGAUGGCCAGGCUGUCUCCACCCGAGACUCAGUGAAAUUGAACUCGCUGUGAAGAUGCAGUGUACCCGCGGCAAGACGGAAAGACCCCGUGAACCUUUACUAUAGCUUGACACUGAACAUUGAGCCUUGAUGUGUAGGAUAGGUGGGAGGCUUUGAAGUGUGGACGCCAGUCUGCAUGGAGCCGACCUUGAAAUACCACCCUUUAAUGUUUGAUGUUCUAACGUUGACCCGUAAUCCGGGUUGCGGACAGUGUCUGGUGGGUAGUUUGACUGGGGCGGUCUCCUCCUAAAGAGUAACGGAGGAGCACGAAGGUUGGCUAAUCCUGGUCGGACAUCAGGAGGUUAGUGCAAUGGCAUAAGCCAGCUUGACUGCGAGCGUGACGGCGCGAGCAGGUGCGAAAGCAGGUCAUAGUGAUCCGGUGGUUCUGAAUGGAAGGGCCAUCGCUCAACGGAUAAAAGGUACUCCGGGGAUAACAGGCUGAUACCGCCCAAGAGUUCAUAUCGACGGCGGUGUUUGGCACCUCGAUGUCGGCUCAUCACAUCCUGGGGCUGAAGUAGGUCCCAAGGGUAUGGCUGUUCGCCAUUUAAAGUGGUACGCGAGCUGGGUUUAGAACGUCGUGAGACAGUUCGGUCCCUAUCUGCCGUGGGCGCUGGAGAACUGAGGGGGGCUGCUCCUAGUACGAGAGGACCGGAGUGGACGCAUCACUGGUGUUCGGGUUGUCAUGCCAAUGGCACUGCCCGGUAGCUAAAUGCGGAAGAGAUAAGUGCUGAAAGCAUCUAAGCACGAAACUUGCCCCGAGAUGAGUUCUCCCUGACUCCUUGAGAGUCCUGAAGGAACGUUGAAGACGACGACGUUGAUAGGCCGGGUGUGUAAGCGCAGCGAUGCGUUGAGCUAACCGGUACUAAUGAACCGUGAGGCUUAACCUUACAACGCCGAAGCUGUU